rnacentral:rRNA from 1 species
UUCCGGUUGAUCCUGCCGGAGGUUACUGCUAUCAAGGUCCGACUAAGCCAUGCGAGUCGAAUGUAGCAAUACAUGGCGAACUGCUCAGUAACACGUGGACAACCUACCCUCAGAUCUGGGAUAAACCUGGGAAACUGGGUAUAAUACCCGAUAGUCCUCGAAUGCUGGAAUGCACCGAGGACGAAAGCUCCGGUGCCUAAGGAUGGGUCUGCGGCCUAUCAGGUAGUAGUGGGUGUAGCGUACCUACUAGCCUACGACGGGUACGGGUUGUGAGAGCAAGAGCCCGGAGAUGGAUUCUGAGACACGAAUCCAGGCCCUACGGGGUGCAGCAGGCGCGAAAACUUUACAAUGCUGGCAACAGCGAUAAGGGAACCUCGAGUGCCAGGUUACAAAUCUGGCUGUCGAGAUGCCUAAAAAGCAUUUCAUAGCAAGGGCCGGGCAAGACCGGUGCCAGCCGCCGCGGUAACACCGGCGGCUCGAGUGGUAACCGUUAUUAUUGGGUCUAAAGGGUCUGUAGCCGGCCGGAUAAGUCUCUUGGGAAAUCUGGCAGCUCAACUGUCAGGCUAUCAGGAGAUACUGUCUGGCUCGAGGCCGGGAGAGGUGAGAGGUACUUCAGGGGUAGGGGUGAAAUCUUGUAAUCCUUGAAGGACCACCAGUGGCGAAGGCGUCUCACCAGAACGGACCUGACGGCAAGGGACGAAAGCUAGGGGCACGAACCGGAUUAGAUACCCGGGUAGUCCUAGCCGUAAACGAUACUCGCUAGGUGUCGGCCACGGUGCGACCGUGGUCGGUGCCGUAGGGAAGCCGUGAAGCGAGCCACCUGGGAAGUACGGCCGCAAGGCUGAAACUUAAAGGAAUUGGCGGGGGAGCACCACAACGGGUGGAGCUUGCGGUUUAAAUGGAUUCAACGCCGGA